rnacentral:rRNA from 1 species
UACAGAGGGUGCGAGUCGUUGUCCGGAAUUACUGGGCGUAAAGAGCUCGUAGGUGGUUUGUCGCGUUGUCCGUGAAAACUCACAGCUUAACUGGUGGGCGUGCGGGCGAUACGGGCAGACUGGAGUACUGCAGGGGAGACUGGAAUUCCUGGUGUAGCGGUGGAAUGCGCAGAUAUCAGGAGGAACACCGGUGGCGAAGGCGGGUCUCUGGGCAGUAACUGACGCUGGAGGAGCGAAAGCGUGGGGAGCGAACAGG